CCUACGGGAGGCAGCAGUAGGGAAUCUUCCACAAUGGACGAAAGUCUGAUGGAGCAACGCCGCGUGAGUGAAGAAGGUUCUCGGAUCGUAGAACUCUGUUGUGAGGGAAGAACAAGUACCGGAGUAACUGCCGGUACCUUGACGGUACCUCAUUAGAAAGCCACGGCUAACUACGUGCCAGCAGCCGCGGUAAUACGUAGGUGGCAAGCGUUGUCCGGAAUCAUUGGGCGUAAAGCGCGCGCAGGCGGUCCCUUAAGUCUGAUGUGAAAGCCCACGGCUCAACCGUGGAGGGUCAUUGGAAACUGGGGGACUUGAGUGCAGAAGAGGAAAGCGGAAUUCCAAGUGUAGCGGUGAAAUGCGUAGAGAUUUGGAGGAACACCAGUGGCGAAGGCGGCUUUCUGGUCUGUAACUGACGCUGAGGCGCGAAAGCGUGGGGAGCAAACAGGAUUAGAUACCCUGGUAGUCCACGCCGUAAACGAUGAGUGCUAAGUGUUAGGGGGUUUCCGCCCCUUAGUGCUGCAGCUAACGCAUUAAGCACUCCGCCUGGAGAGUACGGUCGCAAGACUGAAACUCAAAGGAAUUGACGG
rnacentral:rRNA from 1 species